AUCCAGAUCAUCCAGUCCUUAGAAUAUCCUGGGUGAAUGAGUGUCUCUCUGUGUUGGGAUCCCAGAUGCUGAUCCUGAGCUCCCAGUCAGAAGAACAAGCAGUAAGGAGUUACUGCCACCAGAGACUGUGAGACGUAGGAGGCAUGGAGGUGUGGUUGGGCUCCAGAGUUUGAAAUAAAGGCCUUGAUAUUAAUCAUG